GCAAGUCGAGCGGAAACGAGAAGGUGCUUGCACCUUCGGCGUCGAGCGGCGGACGGGUGAGUAAUGCCUAGGAAGUUGCCCAGUAGAGGGGGAUAACCAUUGGAAACGAUGGCUAAUACCGCAUAUUCUCUUUGGAGCAAAGCAGGGGACCUUCGGGCCUUGCGCUAUUGGAUACGCCUAGGUGGGAUUAGCUAGUUGGUGAGGUAAUGGCUCACCAAGGCAACGAUCCCUAGCUGGUCUGAGAGGAUGAUC
rnacentral:rRNA from 1 species